rnacentral:rRNA from 1 species
UACGUAGGGGGCAAGCGUUGUCCGGAAUCAUUGGGCGUAAAGCGCGUGUAGGCGGCCCGAUAAGUCCGCUGUGAAAGUCCAGGGCUCAACCCUGGGAUGCCGGUGGAUACUGUCGGGCUCGAGUCCGGAAGAGGCGAGUGGAAUUCCUGGUGUAGCGGUGAAAUGCGCAGAUAUCAGGAAGAACACCCGUGGCGAAGGCGGCCCACUGGGCCGGUGCUGACGCUGAGGCGCGAAGGCGUGGGGAGCGAACGGG